GGCAACUUACCAAAGUGGCUAAUGGGUUGGUCUCGAAUUAUUUCGACCUUGCUUAGCGAGGGUAAUCGUGCUAAACCAAUGGGCUCUGCCUGCACAGGUUCGAAUCCUGUAGUUGUCG